GGAAAGAUGCCGGAGUGGUCGAACGGGACGGUCUCGAAAACCGUUGUACUCGUGAGGGUACCAAGGGUUCGAAUCCCUUUCUUUCCG
rnacentral:tRNA from 1 species